CUCACUGUAUGUCAUUUCCAUGUACUGAACUCUUGUUAUUCAACUAUGCCAAGGUAAAUAAAAAAUUUUAUUCUAGGGCACCUUUAAAUCUUUUAUAGUAAAAUGUAUUUUUAUCUUAGGGUUUGGGGAUGGAUAUGAACUGGUCCUGUUGAUCAUCAGAUUCACUUAUAGAGCAGUGAAGAUCUGAAACACGCAGUAUUUCUUUGUUCAGUGUGUGUCUUGAAAACAAACCAGAGCUCUGGCUGCUCUCCAAGAGCCCAUAUGGAUCUUUCUUUUCUCUUUCAAGACACCUUGAGCAUGUGAUGCUGUGUGUGUCACUGAGUGUGGGCAUCAUCUGAGCCUUAUUGAUGUCUUCUUCUGCCGCUGAAAUUAGUGAUGUUGUGUCCGUGAUCUCAGUAUUGAUCACUUCACACACAGCAGGUGCAUCACAUUCAGCUGAGCAGCAUUUAAUCUGCUUUAAUAACCUGCUUCAAAACAACAGGACAGUAGUACAGUGUCCAAUCACUGGCAGAAUGAUAUUUCACACCCAAAAACAGCAUGCUCACCGCUCUCGUACUUAUAUUAUAUAGAAAAAGUGCAGUGUAAAGAUUCUGCUAAACAUCCGAUUCUGUGUUCAGAACAUCUUGAUAACGCAGCACUGACAGAAGGUUCAGUGAGCGUUGACGGGAAAGGCCGAUGUGUCCGACGAGGACAGAGGUGAGCUGGGAUUUGGAGGCCUGCUGUAAAUACUCUCUGAUGGCAAGAGAUUCUGCAGGCCACGAGAGGAACAGAAUGGCUGAAGCUCUUCUCAGCAGACCAUCUCAAACAACCCCAUCCCCCAAACACCAUAAAUCCUGAGAUGCUCCUCAGCAUAGGUUCAAAUGUUAACAUAACCAAACAGACUGUGUAAAUAUUUGCCCUACGAGACGUUCAGAGCGACAGGAACUCCAGUUAAGUCUCAUGAAACUGAAGUUUUGUGAGUCUGUGAAAAGCAGGAUGGAUAUAUUGUGUUGUUGUGUGUCUGUUCACUGCAGGCCUGUGCUGAACAUCUGUCAACAUGUUAAAGAAAGACAGAGACAGAGAGAGAGAGAGAGAGAGAGAGAGAGAGAGAGAGAGCGAGCGCUUCCUCCCCCACUGCUCUGUGUUUUCCUCAGGGAUUCAGAUUAAAAGUGCAGCACACAUUGGAAACUUUAAGAUUCCACAGUGUCAAAGUGCAUUUAUAUAUUAACCCUGUGAAGCCUGACAUGACAACGGCCAUUGAAUUCUUUAAAAAAUAAUGCACACCCGAGGUGUUAAUGCGGCCACGACGCGAAGCGGAGUCAAUUAUUCCGCUUAUACUUACCACACCUCAAGAUAUAUCCAAUGUUGUAUUUCAAGACAUUUGUCAGGUUUUGUCCUUAAAACACUCUUGUGUGUGGGACUAAUUUCUCACGCAUCUCAUCCCAAGCCUCCGUUGCUAAUUCCAAAAUUACAUUUCAGAACUAGUAACAGAGGUUUGAGCCGUCAAUAGCAGAAUAAUACAGUUGAUACAGUUAUUAACACAGUAGAGAGAGAGAGAGAGAGAGAGAGAGAGAGAGAGAGGGGGGGAGAAAAUAAGCAGCACAUGUGAAUGCGUCUCUCACAGCAGCAGUGUCUCUACUAAUAGCGAAACUAUAAGUUUAUCUACCUCAAGAACCACACAGUUAUUACCUCACUGGAUUUUCUUCAGCACAAUGCAUCAGGAAGCCACACGUUCCUCACCCAUGAUUCCCUCUCGUGUCAUGUGAUUGGACAGCGGCCUGAGCCUGUGACCAGAAUCCAGUUGAUAUGAAAAGACAAGCCCAAGGCUUUGACUCCCAUGAGGCCGUGCGCUCGCAAGUCAAUGAGCUGCUGACUGAUGGAGCUGUGUCAAUCUGGUCAUCAUUAUACUG